rnacentral:rRNA from 1 species
AACGAACGCUGGCGGCGUGCCUAACACAUGCAAGUCGAGCGCGAAAAGAGCAAUCUGAGUAGAGCGGCGCACGGGUGCGUAACACGUGGGUAAUCUGCCUCAAGGUCUGGGAUAACCUUCCGAAAGGUUGGCUAAUACCAGUUAAGCUCACGGUGACUUCGGUCGCUGAGAGAAAAGGGGCCCGAAAGGGUCUCGCCAUGAGAUGAGCCCGCGGCCCAUCAGCAGGUUGGCGGGGUAACGGCCCACCAAGGCUACGACGGGUAGCUGGUCUGAGAGGACGAUCAGCCACACUGGAACUGAGACACGGUCCAGACUCCUACGGGAGGCAGCAGUGGGGAAUUUUGCACAAUGGCGAAAGCCUGAUGCAGCAACGCCGCGUGUGUGAUGAAGGUCUUCGGAUCGUAAAGCACUUUCGACC